AAGUAGCCCAUCAGGCAUAUCAGGACCUGACGUCACUCGUCUUUGAUAAAAGGCUUUUGAAAGAUCUUCAGAAGAUGGCCCUCUUCAAACAUACUGGGCCACUGGAGAUCUUUCACAGAGCUCUCCUGAAGUACCUCCCUAAAUGCCAGGCCUUCUCCUACGAGGGAGAGGGCCUACCUCGCCAUCAUGGAACAUAAUGAGAACAUUGUGGCACGAGAACAAGCCACCACGGCAACAGGAGAACCACACGUCAAGCAGGUCUUCUGCAAAAAGUCAAAGCAAUGGAUAGUCAAGAAAAUCUAUAAGCCACACACCACCAAGUUCAUCCAGACACUAAUUGAGAAGGUCAUAGAAAACAGACGCAACCCAAACAUACCAUUCAAAGACUCAACCGCUUCACUCACCCAACCACAACCUCCUUUUCCACCUAACAUUGCCCCUGUCCCAAAGCGUCAAAUAAAGCUGCAACAUCAUCAUUCAAGAGCCGCUUCUGAGACGUCAGCUCUACAUUAACCCAUUCCUCACAAAUAUUUUGUAAUAUUACCAUGUCUUAUGUCUUUGUCUUAUAUGGUCUUUUGACCUUAUCCUUGCACUACCUUACCUGUUUGCACUGCCAUUGAGCACCUUACUAUACAUACUCAAUCACAGGGUCAAUACCUCUAAAGUGUGGAUAAUUUUGUUUGUGUGUUUUGAUGUUCAUGACACAAUUCUUUCUUUGUGAUUUAAAAACAAAAUGUCACUUGUGCUCUCCUGUCUGCCUUCAAC